GGGGAUGUGCUGGAAUUGGCAGACAGGCAUGACUUAGGAUCAUGUGUCGAAAGGCGUAAGGGUUCAAGUCCCUUCAUCCCCA
rnacentral:tRNA from 1 species